GGUGAAGUAAAACAAGAUUGGUGAUAUGGAUUAUGUACUUUGAGAAUUAUUCUAAGAUCUCUAGGUGAGAUCGCUUUAGUGUAUGAAUGAAUAUUGAGGCUCCUUCAAGGGAGGUCAUCCCUAAUACUCUGACGGUCUUUCAUUCUCAAAUAGAGAGGAUCGACGCGGGUGGUGAGAGUAGUGGGAAGUCCUAGGGUAGACGCUUUCACUGGAGGUCUAUUCCGCGGUAACGGACUAGCCUUGUGUGUGGUCGGGUGAAACCCCUCGGCAAUGACUUUGCAAAGCAGUAGAGUCCACCACAAGUGCACAACCUGCCCAAGAUCAAAAUUCAUCCCUAGUCCGUACGAGUCUAGGUCAAUUAUGAUUUAUCUAUACUUGUUUUGUUAUUGC
rnacentral:lncRNA from 1 species